CGAAUGGCUGGGCCAUUGAGUGCUUC
rnacentral:piRNA from 1 species